CCAAGGCUAGAAAAAAAAUAAAUAAAAAGGCAGCCUUCUUGAGUAAAAAAAGCCAAGGCUCGAAAAAAAAUAUCGAGCGAAAAAUAGAAAUGAUAAAAGAAUGCUCAAAAGAAUAAGUUGACUUGGUUAGAUGGUCGAAAAAUCUCAUGUUUGGGGUGUUGAGCUGUGAGAAAUUUGUACGCAUUGACUGAGAUGUGAAAGAUGUUGUGAUGGAUGUGCUAGUAUUUUAAGAAUGGUGGUAAACUACUUAACCAUAUAUUAUCCCACCAUUACCAAAAGCCCCAUUACAUCCUAAUGAAUAAGACCUUUUGAUUUAUGCAUCAUAUUGACUUGUGAGCGAUGAAUUUUGCUUGAAUUUGGGAGAAAGAUCUUAUGUGCUUAAAAUAAAGAAUAGCCGGAAGAACUUCUCUUUAGGAAUUAGUGACGAUGGUUUGAGACUCCCAAGACACAACUCGAACUUAUGUUGAAGCAUGGGAUGCCUAGGUCUUAGGGAAUUAGUUCGUGUACAAUUCUUGUUCGAAAGUUUUACCCGCGAGUGAAUUCACGGUCGUCCUAAUUUCCCUACUGAUUCGUUGGCGUGACUUGAAGGAGAGGAUUAUCUAAUAUCUUAUGACUGUGCUUUAUUGUCUAACUUGCUCGAGGGCUAGCAAGACUUAAGUUAUGGGGGUGUUUGAUGUGAGUGGGUAAUUGUCUAACUUGUUCCUCGGAGUAUACAAUGGAAUGGAGGGCAGCGUAUUACUGGACCAAGUCAGUUUUGACCACUUCGAUAUUAAGUGUCUCUCAGUUCAUACUAAACCCAUCAAUGAAGAACUACUGCAAAAUCUUUCUGAUGCUCUACAUUUUUCGCUACUUGAUAAAAUUGGAGUUGGUCUUGCUGUGUCCAAAAUCUGAAGAUCACGAUACCAGGAUGUGUGGAAAGAAUUUCUGUUUGAGUCAGAUUGAAGAGUUGUGUGCCAAUCCUAUUGUAUUUGAGGCGACUGAGAUCAUUUCUAGAGCAGUCAUUUCAGCUGGAAUCACAAACAGAGUUGACACCGAUGAAUGGAAUCCAUCCACUGAUACACAUCUUCCUCGAUUGAUAACCUCUCUGGAAAUGUUGUGAUACACCCAAAAUUUUAACUAUCAUUCCAGCAGUUGUGUUUUUCUACGACAGUUUGAUGAACUAGCACGGGACCAAGUUUUCUAUAGAUUGCAAACUUGAGUUUGCUCGUACUGCUUGCUCAUCUAAAUUCUGCUGCUGGGCUGCGCUGCAAGCAAAACUCGUUCCUUUGUUGAGAGCUCUACUUUACUGUUGAUCAAGUUCCAGAGAUGUCCAUUGUUCUUCAAUAGUUAGGUUCUCGCUUCCGGUAUAGGGGUGUGAUCCUGGCGCCACCCCUCACUUGCUUUCUGUGCAAACAACUGCCGAAAAGGUUACAAAUUCUGUCGGAUUCUUUGUCUUGCUGUCCUGCAUAUUAGGAGCUAAGGAAGAGCUAACUUCUAAAUGAGGCAAGAUGAGAGAAGAAAUACCUAACCCCCAUCACCUAACUUCCAAAGCAGACAAGGGAGUAUUUUGUUUCCGCUCACAUUUUCUCGUCCUUCACAUAAAGGGCAAUGUUAAUAUUAAGAUUUUGGGUUAGGGUCUUUGUGUGCAUUUUGAUUAUAUGGUUGUAAAUAUUUUGAUUAAUUUCUCUUCGAUUCGUUGAUUCUGAAGUUUCCCUUUUCAACAAUGUAUAUAACAAUGCGAAUACUGAAGAAGUUAUGUGUUUUUAAAUGGCAGGACUAUGCCACGGAGCCUGAUGAGAAGCUUAUACGAAAUGCAGCACAUUUGAUGGUAGCAAGGUUCAGUCUAAGGCUGCGUAGCAAGCAUAACUCGGUCACGUGUUGAGAGAGCUACUUCAGUGUUGAUAAUUUGUAGAGAUCUCCCCUGUUCUUUAACAGUAAGGUUCUCGCUUCCGGUACAGGGGUGUGAUCAUGGAGCUAACUUCUAAAUGAGGCAAGACGAGAGAAGAAAUAACUAACCCCCAUCACCUAACUUCUAAAGCAAACAAGGGAGUAUUUUGUGUCCGCUCACAUUUUCUCGUCCUUCACAUAAAGGGCAAUGUUAAUAUUAAGAUUUGGGGUUAGGGUCUUUGUGUGCAUUUUGAUUAUGUGGCUGUAAAUAAUUUGAUUAAUUUCUCUUUGAUUUGUUGAUUCUGAAUUUUCCUUUUUCAGCAGUGUAUAUAACAAUGUGAAUACUAAAGAAGUUAUGUGUUUUUAAAGUGGCAGGACUAUGCCACGAAGCCUGAUGUGAAUUGAUUCUGAAGUUUCCUUUUUCAGCAGUGUAUAUAACAAUGUGAAUACUAAAGAAGUUAUGUGUUUUUAAGUGGCAGGACUAUGCCACAGAGCCUGAUGAGAAACUUAUACGAAAUGCAACACAUUUGAUGGUAGCAAGGUUGGCAGGAAGUCUUGGUAAUGUAACCUGUAAGGUUGAGUGUAAGGCUGCGUAGCAAGCAGAACUCGGUCCCGUGUUGAUAGCUCUACUUCAGUGUUGAUCAAGUUCCAGAGAUGUCCCCUGAUCUUCAGCAGUGAGGUGUUAUAGCUGUAACCACUACUCGUAGGAUUUUUAUGCUAGUGCACUUUGAGCACACAGUUUUGUAGGGACUAACCCGGAGUUGUCCUGGUUCUCACUUCUGGUAUAGGGGGGCACCACCCCUUACUUGCUUUCUACGUAAACAAGGAAGUAUUCUAUCUCCCUUUACAUUUUCUUGUCCUUCACAUUUAAGCUAAUGUUUAGAAUAGUUUUGAGGUGUGGUUGUUUGCGUGCAUUCUUCUUUUUGUGGUUGUAAUUUAUCAUAUUUGUGUGUGUAUGCAAGGUUUUCUCUAUUGAUUUUCACCAUAUAUACUUUUUAUGGGUUAUUAGUGUCGACUAGUUUAUCUCAAGGGUUGGAGAACUAAGAUUCCAUAAUUUAAAACACCUAACUUAGUAGUAUUUUAAUAAUAUGUGAAAAUGAACAAUACAGCUGAACAAGACAUGCUGCCGAACAAGACCAAGUGCAUAUCUUAUAGUAUUUUCUAUGGUCUCUUGAUAUUUUCUCUCCGGUGAACGUGGAGUCUGUUGAUGUUUUUUCUGAUUAAUGGGAUUUACUUUUUAAAGCAAUAAUACUAGCAAAUAACUGAUAUAAAAAACUUGGUAAAAGAUUGUGUUAAUUUAAUCCAUUGUGUAAUAUUGUUUCUAUUUUGCCUUUGUUGCAUUUAAACCUUGUAUACAUGCAGUCCAAACCAUAGAUGGGAAACAGAUCAACAACUUUCUAUUAGGAGAAAGUAUAGAGAGUGUUGUGCAACUAUUUUUUAUGCUAGCCUUUAUGUACUAGGUCAAAUGAGCCCUUUGUCCUAAGCUAGACCACCUGUCACAUUCACAACAACGAGUUUAUGAGGUUAUUCUCUGACAAAUUCUAGGACAUCUAAGUUGAUUCAGGUGGUCAGGUACAUAUUAUCUAUUUUCAUCUUUGUGAUCUUUAUUUGUGUCUCAUUUCAUUUUUUUUCAUUUUAUUUGUAUCAUUUUGCUCGUUUUCCAGGCAAGAAUCGAUCCAUCCAGAGCUCAAAUGCAUUUCCAGUUUGACCCUCCGCUUCAUCAGUAGGUGGAUUUUCCUAUCAAUUUGCAUCGCUACUUCUGACGAAAUGAGUGUUAGCACUGGAAUUGGUGCUAUGCCCCACACACCCGAAAUUGGCUCUGACUAGAUUGAACCUGUUGGAUCCCCGAUACCUCCAAGUUCCUUCAUCUCACAUUCAAUUGGCGAUGGUCCACAAACUCCUGAAAAUGACAUCAUUCCUUCAUUCCCUCCUGCUUUGGCCAGUUAUUGAUGGAACCUUUCAGUUAUGCAAACGAACCUGGAAUUGCUGCACAUCAUACUAAUGCAAAUCUGUCUGCCGAGCAUCCUGGGACAAAUGUACCAUACUAUCUCAGAGAAGGACAAUAUUUCCGAUGAUGCACCAUAUAAUUUCACAGGCUGGGUUUGGUCUAGAAGUGGGGAUGAUGUCAAUCCUACAUGGAGUCAAGGAGGAGUUAACUUCUUAGGAGCCAAGAUGAGAAAAGAAAUACCUAACCCCUACAACCUAACUUCCCACACAAACAAGAGAGAUCUCGCUUAUCACAUAAAGGGAAAUGUUAAGUUUCAUUUUGGGGGUGUGGGUGUUUGUGUUUGUACUGUGUGCCCUUUGUAUUUUGUGUAUAGUAAUAGUGUAGUGUGUUAGUGUAGAGUGCGCAUUGUUAGUAUUUUUUAUAGUCUAUGAACCGUGUGUAUUUUGUGAUUUUGCGUGUAUGUGUAUGUGUUUGUAGUUCAUGUAAUUUUAAAUUUUAUGUGUGUGGGUGGGUAGGUGUGUGGUGUAUGUUGUGUGGAUUGGGUUUAUAUUGUAGUUCCAUUUGCCAUGAUAUACCGCCAUGGCUUCGCUGUGGCAGCUAUUUGACAA